rnacentral:miRNA from 1 species
UUCUGUAGGUAACGUUACCUACAGAAUUUUCCGUAGGUAACAUUACCUACGAAAAAUUUCCGUAGGUAACGUUACCUACAAGC